UACGUAGGGUGCGAGCGUUGCCCGGAUUUAUUGGGCGUAAAGGGCGCGUAGGCGGCCACGCACGUCCGUUGUGAAAUCGCCCGGCUCAACUGGGCGGGGUCGGCGGAUACGGCGUGGCUGGAGCAAGCUAGGGGGCAAUGGAAUUCCCGGUGUAGUGGUGGAAUGCGUAGAUAUCGGGAGGAACACCAGUGGCGAAGGCGGUUGCCUGGAGCUUUGCUGACGCUGAGGCGCGAAAGCGUGGGGAGCGAGUCCGG
rnacentral:rRNA from 1 species